AACGAACGCUGGCGGCAGGCCUAACACAUGCAAGUCGAGCGCCCCGCAAGGGGAGCGGCGGACGGGUGGGUAACGCGUGGGAAUAUGCCCUUUGCUACGGAAUAGUCUCGGGAAACUGGGGGUAAUACCGUAUACGCCCUUUGGGGGAAAGAUUUAUCGGCGAAGGAUUAGCCCGCGUUGGAUUAGGUAGUUGGUGGGGUAAUGGCCUACCAAGCCGACGAUCCAUAGCUGGUUUGAGAGGAUGAUCAGCCACACUGGGACUGAGACACGGCCCAGACUCCUACGGGAGGCAGCAGUGGGGAAUCUUAGACAAUGGGGGCAACCCUGAUCUAGCCAUGCCGCGUGAGUGAUGAAGGCCUUAGGGUUGUAAAGCUCUUUCAGCUGGGAAGAUAAUGACGGUACCAGCAGAAGAAGCCCCGGCUAACUCCGUG
rnacentral:rRNA from 1 species